rnacentral:tRNA from 1 species
AAAAAGAUAAGCUAAUUUAAGCUAUUAGGUUCAUACCCUACUUAUAAAGGUUUUAAUCCUUUUCUUUUUA